CAGUCGCCACGGGAAUACGGAGGUCCCGAGCGUUGUCCGGAUUUAUUGGGCGUAAAGCGCGCGCAGGCGGAUAGGUCAGUCUGUCUUAAAAGUUCGGGGCUUAACCCCGUGAUGAGAUGGAAACUGCCAAUCUAGAGUAUCGGAGAGGAAAGUGGAAUUCCUAGUGUAGCGGUGAAAUGCGUAGAUAUCGGAAGGAACACCUGUGGCGAAAGCGGCUCACUGGACCAUAACUGACGCUGAUGUACGAAAGCUAGGGGAGCAAACAGGAUUAGAUACCCCUGUAGUCCCUGUCUCUUAUACA
rnacentral:rRNA from 1 species